rnacentral:rRNA from 1 species
AGUGAACGCUGGCGGCAGGCCUAACACAUGCAAGUCGAACGGCAGCACAGGAGAGCUUGCUCUCUGGGUGGCGAGUGGCGGACGGGUGAGGAAUACGUCGGAAUCUGCCUAUUUGUGGGGGAUAACGUAGGGAAACUUACGCUAAUACCGCAUACGACCUACGGGUGAAAGCGGAGAACCUUCGGGCUUCGCGCAGAAAGAUGAGCCGACGUCGGAUUAGCUAGGUGGCGGGGUAACGGCCCACCAAGGCGACGAUCCGUAGCUGGUCUGAGAGGAUGAUCAGCCACACUGGAACUGAGACACGGUCCAGACUCCUACGGGAGGCAGCAGUGGGGAAUAUUGGACAAUGGGCGCAAGCCUGAUCCAGCCAUGCCGCGUGAGUGAAGAAGGCCCUCGGGUUGUAAAGCUCUUUUGUCCGGAAAGAAAAGCGCUCGGUUAAUACCCAAGCGUCAUGACGGUACCGGAAGAAUAAGCACCGGCUAACUUCGUGCCAGCAGCCGCGGUAAUAC